rnacentral:rRNA from 1 species
AGCAGCCGCCGCGGGAAUACGUAGGUGGCAAGCGUUGUCCGGAAUUAUUGGGCGUAAAGCGCGCGCAGGUGGUUUAAUAAGUCUGAUGUGAAAGCCCACGGCUCAACCGUGGAGGGUCAUUGGAAACUGUUAAACUUGAGUGCAGGAGAGAAAAGUGGAAUUCCUAGUGUAGCGGUGAAAUGCGUAGAGAUUAGGAGGAACACCAGUGGCGAAGGCGGCUUUUUGGCCUGUAACUGACACUGAGGCGCGAAAGCGUGGGGAGCAAACAGGAUUAGAUACCCGAGUAGUCCCUGUCUCUUAUAA